UACGAAGGGGGCUAGCGUUGCUCGGAAUCACUGGGCGUAAAGGGUGCGUAGGCGGGUCUUUAAGUCAGGGGUGAAAUCCUGGAGCUCAACUCCAGAACUGCCUUUGAUAUUGAAGAUCUUGAGUUCGGGAGAGGUGAGUGGAACUGCGAGUGUAGAGGUGAAAUUCGUAGAUAUCCGGAGGAAUACCAAAGGCGAAGGCAGUGUCCUGGGGAGUGUCUGACGCUCAGGCGCGAAAGCUAGGGGAGCAAACAGG
rnacentral:rRNA from 1 species